rnacentral:rRNA from 3 species
AACUGGGAUUAGAUACCCCACUAUUUUUAGUAGUAAAUUUAAUUUAAGUUUACCAGAGUACUACGAAUAAAAAAUUUAAAACUCAAAGAGCUUGGCGGUGUUUUAGACCUCUCAGGGGAACCUGUCUCAUAAUCGACAAUCCACGUUAAACCCGACCCUUUGUAGCAAUUCAGCUUGUAUACCGUUGUCGUCAGGUAACUUCUUAAAAUAUAGUAGUUAGCUCGAAAAUAUUAUUAAUUAAUACGUCAAAUCAAGGUGCAGCUAAUAAAAGGGAGAGGAUGGGUUACAAUUAUAUAUUUAUAACUACGGAAAACAUCUUAAACAAAGAUGCUAGAAGGAGGACUUGAAAGUAAUUUUGAUUAUAUAAACAGAAUGAAUAAGGCUCUGAAACGUG